rnacentral:rRNA from 1 species
AGUGAACGCUGGCGGUAGGCCUAACACAUGCAAGUCGAACGGCAGCACAGUAAGAGCUUGCUCUUACGGGUGGCGAGUGGCGGACGGGUGAGGAAUACAUCGGAAUCUACUUUUUCGUGGGGGAUAACGUAGGGAAACUUACGCUAAUACCGCAUACGACCUACGGGUGAAAGCAGGGGAUCUCCGGACCUUGCGCGAUUGGAUGAGCCGAUGUCGGAUUAGCUAGUUGGCGGGGUAAAGGCCCACCAAGGCGACGAUCCGUAGCUGGUCUGAGAGGAUGAUCAGCCACACUGGAACUGAGACACGGUCCAGACUCCUAAGGGAGGCAGCAGUGGGGAAUAUUGGACAAUGGGCGCAAGCCUGAUCCAGCCAUACCGCGUGGGUGAAGAAGGCCUUCGGGUUGUAAAGCCCUUUUGUUGGGAAAGAAAAGCAGCAGGUUAAUACCCCGCUGUUCUGACGGUACCCAAAGAAUAAGCACCGGCUAACUUCGUG